UGGAGGCAGAACAUUUUUCUACAUCUAGGUUGAGGCUUGUUACCAGCAGGAACAUGGAGCGCACUCUGUCAGUGCUACAGAGACAGAAUUGUCCUGCGAGCCUUCUGACCAACUACCUUUCAUCUCUCCAGAGAACAGAGAAGUGAGUCUGCUGGGCAAUGGAACUCUAGAGCAGUACAUCCAAAAAACCUUCCUCCCAGCUAUCUGCAGAUAGUUCCCUGAUGGAUGCAACUAUCAAGGCUUUCAAAGGCCACAUUUUGGGGGUGACCAAAUGCAUAAAGUUUUGUAUGAACUAAUUUUCAUUUUGUUAGAUUACAAAAUACCUUUUUCAUGUCAUGUUGGUCUUCACACUAACUUCUGUGGUAACUUUUAAACAAAGACAACACAUAGGCUAAUUGGUGUUUUGACAUCAGAUGUUGUUCAGAGCUGAUAUGAGUGGUCAAAAGACCAAUUAGUGAAAAACAAAACAUAAUUGGGCAGCCUGUGUGAACGCAGCCUUAGUUUAUGCUUCAAAAGGCCUAGAGUAAAAGAGUCAUGUCUAGAUUAAUACAUUUUUAUUCAUGUAUAUGAGAUAUCUAUCCCUGACCAGAUUGAAGAAUGGGACAAGUAGACAAAGUGAAUGUCUGU